rnacentral:tRNA from 2 species
GGGGCGUUAACUCAGUGGGAGAGUGCCACCUUCACACGGUGGAAGUCGCAAGUUCAAAUCUUGCACGCCCCA